GUUGAUGAUCGGUGCUUGCACCAAGAUUCAACAUGGAACGAGUGGCGGACGGGUGAGUAACACGUGGGUAACCUGCCCUUAAGUGGGGGAUAACAUUUGGAAACAGAUGCUAAUACCGCAUAGAUCCAAGAACCGCAUGGUUCUUGGCUGAAAGAUGGCGUAAGCUAUCGCUUUUGGAUGGACCCGCGGCGUAUUAGCUAGUUGGUGAGGUAAUGGCUCACCAAGGCGAUGAUACGUAGCUGAACUGAGAGGUUGAUCGGCCACAUUGGGACUGAGACACGGCCCAAACUCCUACGGGAGGCAGCAGUAGGGAAUCUUCCACAAUGGACUCAAGUCUGAUGGAGCAACGCCGCGUGAGUGAAGAAGGCUUUCGGGUCGUAAAACUCUGUUGUUGGAGAAGAAUGGUCGGCAGAGUAACUGUUGUCGGCGUGACGGUAUCCAACCAGAAAGCCACGGCUAACUACGUGCCAGCAGCCGCGGUAAUGCGUAGGUGGCAAGCGUUAUCCGGAUUUAUUGGGCGUAAAGCGAGCGCAGGCGGUUUUUUAAGUCUGAUGUGAAAGCCCUCGGCUUAACCGAGGAAGCGCAUCGGAAACUGGGAAACUUGAGUGCAGAAGAGGACAGUGGAACUCCAUGUGUAGUGGUGAAAUGCGUAGAUAUAUGGAAGAACACCAGUGGCGAAGGCGGCUGUCUGGUCUGUAACUGACGCUGAGGCUCGAAAGCAUGGGUAGCGAACA
rnacentral:rRNA from 1 species